UAUAGUAAUGGCAAAACUGUCGAAAGGCAGUGACGCAAAGCUAAAGGGCCGUAUGGGCAGCCAGCUGCUAAAA
rfam:Clostridium hathewayi CAG:224 genomic scaffold, scf184